rnacentral:lncRNA from 1 species
CCAGGCUGAGCCAUCUCUGAGGAAUGUGGCUUUGGCAGGACAUCCAGUGCUGCCCCGCUCCUCCCUCAGCCCCGCCCAGGGCCCUGGAGCCGGGCCGGGCUCCUCCUCCUCCAGGGGAAGGGCUCGGGGCAGGAAUCCCUUCCCUUUCCCCACCCCAGAAGAAGCCCCAGAGCGUAGGGAUAUGCGUACGGCAGAAAGGGAGACAGAAGGCAGGGCUAGAGAAAGGGAACAGGAAAAAAGAGCUUCGACAAGCCAACUGCCCUUCGCUCAGGCCCCAGCGGAAAGGCGCAGAUACCCGGAGACUUCCCAGAGAGACUCGACCCACCAAAAAGCGCACCGCGGCCGCGCAGCCCUUCCUUCAGCUCUGGAACCCAGCGCCCCACACCUCAAAUGGGAGAACUGGUGACCUCUAGUGGCCCAUGACCAGCCUGCAGGGCCUGGGGCUGGCGGGGAUUCUCUGACCCAAACUCUCCUGGGCUCUAAUGCUGUU